GUCUGGGUGGGGCCUGAGAUC
rnacentral:miRNA from 1 species